AAACCCUGACGAUGCGACGCUGCGUGAGCGAUGAAGGCCUUCGGGUUGUAAAGCUCUUUCGCUAGGGAAUAARAGA
rnacentral:rRNA from 1 species